rnacentral:rRNA from 1 species
UACGGAGGAUGCGAGCGUUAUCCGGAUUUAUUGGGUUUAAAGGGUGCGUAGGCGGAUCGUUAAGUCAGUGGUCAAAUUGAGGGGCUCAACCCCUUCCCGCCAUUGAAACUGGCGAUCUUGAGUGGAAGAGAAGUAUGCGGAAUGCGUGGUGUAGCGGUGAAAUGCAUAGUUAUCACGCAGAACCCCGAUUGCGAAGGCAGCAUGCCGGCUUCCGACUGACGCUGAAGCACGAAAGCGUGGGGAUCGAACAGG